AACGAACGCUGGCGGCAUACCUAACACAUGCAAGUCGAACGAGAUCUUCGGGUCUAGUGGCGCACGGGUGCGUAACGCGUGGGAAUCUGCCCUUUGGUUCGGAAUAACAGUUGGAAACGACUGCUAAUACCGGAUGAUGACGAAAGUCCAAAGAUUUAUCGCCAGAGGAUGAGCCCGCGUAGGAUUAGCUAGUUGGUGUGGUAAAGGCGCACCAAGGCGACGAUCCUUAGCUGGUCUGAGAGGAUGAUCAGCCACACUGGGACUGAGACACGGCCCAGACUCCUACGGGAGGCAGCAGUGGGGAAUAUUGGACAAUGGGCGAAAGCCUGAUCCAGCAAUGUCGCGUGAGUGAUGAAGGCCUUAGGGUUGUAAAGCUCUUUUACCCGGGAUGAUAAUGACAGUACCGGGAGAAUAAGCUCCGGCUAACUCCGUGCCAGCCGCCGCAGUAA
rnacentral:rRNA from 1 species